AGAGUUUGAUCCUGGCUCAGAAUGAACGUUGGCGGCGUGGAUUAGGCAUGCGAGUCGCGCGAGAAUGUAGCAAUACAGGAAAGCGGCGAAAGGGAGAGGACAACAUGGGAAUCUGCCCAGGGGUCGGGGAUAGCUACGGGAAACUGUAGGUAAUACCCGAUAAUGUUUACGGACCAAAGGUUUACUGCCCCUGGAUGAGCCCAUGCCCCAUUAGCUUGUUGGCGGUGUAAUAGACCACCAAGGCGAUGAUGGGUAGCUGGUGUGAGAGCACGACCAGCCUCACUGGCACUGAGACACUGGCCAGACACCUACGGGUGGCUGCAGUCGAGAAUCUUCGGCAAUGGACGAAAGUCUGACCGAGCGACGCCGCGUGCGGGAUGAAGGCCUUCGGGUUGUAAACCGCUGUCGAGGGGGAUUAAGGGCAACUUGAAAGAACCCUGGAGGAAGGAGAGGCUAAGCUCGUGCCAGCAGCCGCGGUAAGACGAGCUCUCCAAACGUUAUUCGGUAUCACUGGGCUUAAAGAGUUCGUAGGCGGCUCUUCAGGUGGGGUGUGAAAGCCCUCGGCUUAACCGAGGAAUUGCGCCCCAAACCGUUGGGCUUGAGGGAUAUAGGGGUAAGCGGAACAGAUGGUGGAGCGGUGAAAUGCAUUGAUAUCAUCUGGAACACCGGUGGCGAAAGCGGCUUACUGGAUAUUUUCUGACGCUGAGGAACGGAAGCUAGGGUAGCGAACGGGAUUAGAUACCCCGGUAGUCCUAGCCGUAAACGAUGAGCACUAGUCUGAAGGACUCUCACAGUCUUUCGGACGUAGCGAAAGUGUUAAGUGCUCCGCCUGGGGAGUAUGGUCGCAAGGCUGAAACUCAAAGGAAUUGACGG
rnacentral:rRNA from 1 species